rnacentral:rRNA from 1 species
AGCAGCCGCGGUAAUUCCAGCUCCAAUAGCGUAUAUUAAAGUUGUUGCAGUUAAAAAGCUCGUAGUUGAAUUUCGAGAUCAAAUUGUUGGUCGUGCCUUGGUACGUACUGGCAUUAUUGGUUUCUCCCUUCUGAAGAACCAUGAUGUCAUUAAUUUGGUGUCAUGGGGAAUCAGGACUGUUACUUUGAAAAAAUUAGAGUGUUUAAAGCAGGCAUACGCUUGAAUACAUUAGCAUGGAAUAAUGAAAUAGGACGUUUGAUUCUAUUUUGUUGGUUUCUAGGAUCGACGUAAUGAUUAAUAGGGAUAGUUGGGGGCAUUAGUAUUCAAUUGUCAGAGGUGAAAUUCUUGGAUUUAUUGAAGACUAACUACUGCGAAAGCAUUUGCCAAGGAUGUUUUCAUUAAUCAAGAACGAAAGUUAGGGGAUCGAAGACGAUCAGAUACCGUCGUAGU